rnacentral:lncRNA from 1 species
GAAACUUGAAAAUGAGGGACAAUACCUCAUUUUUGAUGCUAGAAUGGUUCAAAAGAUGUUAGGAGAUGUCUACAAGCAUACCGAAACGAAAAAAGCCGGAGGUCUAAAAAAGUGAAAUUGGCUACAAAUUCGUGUGCUAUAGUUAAGGCUUUUGGCUUGAACUAGGUGAAACUUGAAAAUGAGGGGCAAUACCUCAUUUUUAAUGCUAGAAUGGUUCAAAAGAUGUUAGGAGGUGUUUAUAUGCAUACCGAAAUGGGAAAAGCCGGAGGUCUAAAAAAAAUGAAAUUAGUUAGAAACUCGUAUGCUAUAGCUAAAUAGCUAAGGGUUUUGACUUGAGCUAGGGGAAACUUGAAAAUGAGGAGCAAUACCCCAUGUUUUUUGCUAGAAUAGUUCAAAAGAUGUUAAGAGUUGUCUAUUAGCAUACCCAAACAGAAAAAGCCGGAUGUCGAAAAAAAGUAAAGUUAGCCAGAAACUCGUGUCGCAUAGUUAGGGGUUUUUGGCUUGAAUUGGGUGAAAUUUGAAAGUGAGGGGUAGUACCUCAAUUUUGAUAUUAGAAUGGUUCAAAAUAUGUUAAGAGGUGUCUAUGAGUAUACCUAAACAGAAAAAGCCGGAGGUCUAAAAAAAGUGAAACUAGCUACAAACUCGUGUGUUAUAGCUAGGGGUUUUGCCUUGAAUUGGAUAAAACUUGAAAAUGAGGGGGAGGUCUAUAAAAAGUGAAACUGGCCAGAAACUCAUGUGCUCUAGACGGUCUUUUGGCUUUAAUAGGGUGAAACUUGAAAAUUAGGGGCAAGUACAUCAUUUUGAUGCUAGAAUGGUUCCAAAGAUAGUUAGGAGGUGUCUAGAAGCAUACCGAAACGGAAAAAGCCGGAGGUCUAAAAAAAGUGAAAUUGGCUACAAAUUAGUGUGCUAUAGCUAAGGCUUUUGGCUUGAACUGGGUGAAACUUGAAAAUGAGGGGCAAUACCUCAUUUUUGAUGCUAGAAUGGUUCAAAAGAUAUUAGGAGAUGUCUAUAAGCUUACUCAAACGGAAAAAGCCGUAGGUUUGAAAAAUGUGAAACUGGCCAGAAACUCGUGUUAGAAAAACGUUUUGCCUUGAAUUAGGUGAAACUUGAAAAUGAGGGACAAUACCUCAUUUUUGAUGCUAGAAUGGUUCAAAAGAUGUUAGGAGGUGUCUAUAAGCAUACCUAAACGGAAAAAGCCAGAGGUUUGAAAAAAGUGAAACUGGCUAGAUACUCGUGUGAGCAAAACGUUUUGCCUUGGAUUGGGUGAAACUUUAAAAUGAGGGACCCUUGGCAUGUCAAGGAGAGUCAAGGCGGUCCCUUGGCAGGUUAAGGCGGGUCAUGGCGGCCCAAGGCGGGUCAUGGCGGCCCAAGGCGGGUCAUGGCGGCCCAAGGCGGGUCAUAGCGGCCCAAGGCGGGUCAUAGCGGCCCAAGGCGGGUCAUGGCGUGCAAGACGAUCAAGGCGGCCCAAGGCGGGUCAAGGCAGGCCAAGGCGGGUCAUGGUAGGUCAUGGCGGGUCAAGGGCGGGUCAAGGCAGCUCAAGGUGGGUCAAGUACAGGUUAAGACGGGUCAUGGCGGCCCAAGGCGGGUCAAGACAGGUUAAGACGGGUCAUGACGGCCCAAGGCGGGUCAAGACGGGUCAUGUCGUGCCAAAGAGGGUCAAGGUGGCCCAAGGCGGGUCAAGGUGGGUCAUGGCGUCCCAAAGAGGGUCAAGGCGGCCAAAGGCGGGUUAUGGCAGCCCAAAAUGGGUCAAGACAUGUGAAGGCGGCCCGUUGGUGGCCUUAGUUAGGUGAAAGCGGCCCCUUAAUUGCCUAAGGCGGGUCAAGGAGGCCCCUUAGUGGCCCUAGACGGGUUAAGGCUUCCCAAAGCGGGUCAAGGUCGCCCUUUGGUGGCACUAGACGGGCCAAGGCGGCCCUAGGCGGGUCUUGGAGGGUCAUGGCUAUCCCUAGGCCGGUCAUGGAGGCCCCUUGGUGGGUCAUGAAAGCCCAAGGCGGGUCAUGGCGGCCCAAGGCGGGUCAAGACAGGUCAUGGCGGCCCAAGGUGGGUCAAGACAUGUCAAGGUUGGUCAUGACGGCCCAAGGCGGGUCAAGACAGGUCAAUGUGGGUCAUGGCUGCCCAAGGCGGGUCAAGACAAGUCAAGGCUAGUCAUGACGACCUAAGGCGGGUCAUGGCGGCCCAAGGUUGGUCAAGGCGGGUCAAGGCGUGCCAACGAGGGUCAAGGCUGGUCAUGGCGGGUAAUGGAGGGCCAAGGCGGGUCUUGGCGGCCN